ACUUUCCGGCCCCGCGGCCCAACGCAAGAACACGACAUGCAGACGGCGAGCGGGCGGCGAGCGGCCGGGCCCCCCCGGCCCCCCCAGCGGCGGGGAGCCCCAGGCAUGCAGCUCCUCCUGUGCGGUGAGCCCGGGUCUGGUAAUACUUAGUCUUCGAAGGCAAGGCACAUCAUGUGGUAUAAAAUUUCGUGCAAAUUAGGAAAACAUGGAUUUUUUUUUUUUUUUUUUACGGCUUUUUUUUUUUUUUUUUUUUUUUUUUUUUUUCUCCUUUUUUUUUUUUCUUUCUUUUUUUUUUUUUUUUAAGAUUCCCUCUUAAAAGUGCAUUUCCUACAAAAUGUGCAACACAAUCGAACCCUCUCGUCGCAAGUCCACAUGGUACCUGUCCACAGGAAUGCAUAGCUCGGACACACGGGGACACGCGGGGAAGGCAUUGCACAAAGACGGGUGACCGGUGUCACACCACGGGGAGCGCGUCGGGAGCGUCCCCACGCCGUGUCCCCAUGGGUAACGGGGCGCCACCGCCGGCACAGGUCCCCAGCCCUGCCCGUGUGUCCCCCUGUCCCCAGCCCCUCUCCUGCAAGACCUCCUGCCAGGCCGUGCUGGCCACCGCGUCACGGUGUCACCGCAUCACCCCGUCACCGCACCACCCGUCCCCAAGGCGCGACCACGGCACGGAGCACGGGACCGGGAGCCACAAGACAGCGAGCGCGGCCACGGCCACGUCCCGCGGGCGCCG
rnacentral:lncRNA from 1 species